GGUUAAGCUAAUAAGAGCACACGGAGGAUGCCUAGGCGCUAGGAGCCGAAGAAGGACGUGGCGAACGACGAAAUGCCUCGGGGAGCCGUAAGCAGGCUUUGAUCCGGGGAUGUCCGAAUGGGGGAACCCAGCUGAGGUAAUUCUCAGUUACCAUGCAGUGAAUACAUAGCUGCAUUGGAGGCAUACGAGGGGAACUGAAACAUCUAAGUACCCUCAGGAGAAGAAAACAAGAGUGAUUCCGUCAGUAGCGGCGAGCGAAAGCGGAACAGCCCAAACCAAGGGGCUUGCCCCUUGGGGUUGUGGGACGUCAAUGUGGGUUUAGCAGAGUAGAUGAAGCGGUCUGGAAAGGCCGGCCACAGAAGGUAACAGCCCUGUAAUCGAAAUUUUGCGAAAACCCUAGACGGAUCCCGAGUACCGCGAGACACGUGAAACCUCGUGGGAAGCAGGCAGGACCAUCUGCCAAGGCUAAAUACUCCCUAGCGACCGAUAGUGAAGCAGUACCGUGAGGGAAAGGUGAAAAGAACCGCGGGAGCGGAGUGAAAUAGAACCUGAAACCGUGUGCUUACAAGAAGUCAGAGCCCGUUAAUGGGUGAUGGCGUGCCUUUUGUAGAAUGAACCGGCGAGUUACGUUCCCGUGCAAGGUUAAGGUGAGAAGCCGGAGCCGCAGCGAAAGCGAGUCUGAAUAGGGCGACUUGAGUACGUGGACGUAGACCCGAAACCGUGUGAUCUACCCCUGCCCAGGGUGAAGGUGCGGUAACACGCACUGGAGGCCCGAACCCACGAAUGUUGAAAAAUUCGGGGAUGAGGUGGGGGUAGCGGAGAAAUUCCAAUCGAACUCGGAGAUAGCUGGUUCUCCCCGAAAUAGCUUUAGGGCUAGCCUCGGGAGAUGAGUAGUGGAGGUAAAGCACUGAUUGGGUGCGGGGCCCGCCAAGGGUUACCAAGUCCAGUCAAACUCUGAAUGCCACAUACUUUAUCCCGGGAGUCAGACAGUGAGUGCUAAGAUCCAUUGUCAAGAGGGAAACAGCCCAGAUCAUCAGCUAAGGUCCCCCAGUGUGUGUUAAGUGGGAAAGGAUGUGGAGUUGCAAAGACAACCAGGAUGUUGGCUUAGAAGCAGCCACCAUUGAAAGAGUGCGUAAUAGCUCACUGGUCGAGUGACUCUGCGCCGAAAAUGUAACGGGGCUAAACACACCACCGAAGCUAUGACCUGAACAAGUAAUUGUUCUUGGGUAGGGGAGCGUUGUAUGCAGGUUGAAGGUGUACUGUAAAGAGCGCUGGACAGCAUACAAGUGAGAAUGCCGGUAUGAGUAACGAAAAGAUCAGUGAGAAUCUGAUCCGCCGAAAGCCUAAGGGUUCCUGAGGAAGGCUCGUCCGCUCAGGGUAAGUCGGGACCUAAGGCGAGGCCGAAAGGCGUAGUCGAAGGACAACAGGUUGAAAUUCCUGUACCACCGUGAACCGUUAUGAGCAAUGGGGUGACGCAGAAGGAUAGUGACGCGGACUGAUGGAUGUCCGUCCAAGCAGAGAGGCUGGUGUGUAGGCAAAUCCGCACAUCGUAAGGCUGGUCUGUGAUGGGGAGUGAAAAUUACAGUAGCGAAGGUCAUGAGUUCAGGCUGCCAAGAAAAGCCUCUAGCCAGGGAGAAGGUGCCCGUACCGUAAACCGACACAGGUAGGCGAGCAGAGCAUGCUAAGGCGCGCGGAAGAACUCUCGUUAAGGAACUCGGCAAAAUGACCCCGUAACUUCGGGAGAAGGGGUGCCUCGGUAGGGUGAAUAGCCCGAGGGGGCCGCAGUGAAAAGGCCCAAGCGACUGUUUAGCAAAAACACAGGUCUGUGCGAAGCCGCAAGGCGAAGUAUACGGGCUGACGCCUGCCCGGUGC
rfam:Corchorus olitorius cultivar O-4 contig02450, whole genome shotgun sequence.